AUGGUGGUUCUUGGAGGAGUGACGCCGGCCUCGUUGCCAUGGGGCUUCCUGGUGUGCGGCCUCCUGUGCCUCGCGCUUCUGCGCCAGGCCGGCAAGCUGCUAGACAUGCUGUGGCUGCGGCCGCGGCGGCUGGAGCGCGAGCUCAGAGCGCAGGGCCUCCGCGGCACGCCCUACCGCUUCCCCGUCGGCGACCUCAAGGAGUACGGCCGGGUGCACAAGGAGGCCUGGGCGAGGCCCUUGCCGCUGGGGUGCCACGACAUCUCCGCCCAUGUCGCGCCUUUCCUCUACAACGCCGUUCAGGAACACGGGAGGACGUGCUUCUCUUGGGUCGGCCCGAUCCCCAAGGUCACCAUCAGCGACCCCGACCUCGCCAAAGACGUCAUGUCCAACAAGUUCGGCCACUUCGAGAAGACCAAGCUUCCGGCGCUGUCCAAGCUGCUCGCCGAAGGCCUCGCCAGCAUCGACGGCGACAAGUGGGCCAAGCAUAGGCGCAUCCUCAACCCCGCGUUCCAGCUCGAGAAAGUCAAGCGCAUGCUGCCGGCGUUUUCUUCAUGCUGCGAAGACCUUGUUAGCAGAUGGAGGGAAUCCCUAGGCUCCAACGGGUCAUGCGAGCUGGACGUUUGGCCGGAGCUCAAGAACCUGACGGGGGAUGUUAUUUCUCGCACCGCAUUCAGCAGCAGCUACCUCGAGGGGAGGAAGAUCUUUCAGCUACAGGAGGAGCAAGCUGAGCGCCUCAUAACAAACAUUCGGGCGCUUCUCAUUCCCGGCUACUUGUCCUUGCCAACCAAAAACAACAGAAGGAUGCAUCAAAUCAACAAGGAGAUCGAAUCGAUUCUGAAAAAUCUGGUUGGCAAAAGAAUCCAAGCAAUGAAACAAGGCGAGAGCACCAAGGACGACUUGCUUGGCUUAUUGCUAGAGUCAAACAUGAGACAGACUGACGAGCAUGGCCGAUCCAGCCAGGGGAUGACAAUUGAAGACGUCAUCGAGGAAUGCAAGCUGUUCUAUUUUGCAGGAAUGGAGACGACGUCGGUGCUGCUCACGUGGACCAUGAUCCUACUCAGCAUGCACCCGGAGUGGCAAGACCGUGCGAGGGAGGAGAUCAUGGGUCUAUUUGGAAGAAACAAACCGGAAUAUGAAGGACUAAGCCGACUCAAAACGGUGACCAUGAUCCUUUAUGAAGUUCUCAGGCUGUACCCACCGGCAACCUUAUUCAGCCGAAAAACUUACAAGGAGAUGGAGAUUGGAGGCAUAACAUACCCUGCUGGCGUCAUGGUUGAGCUCCCCGUGAUGUUCAUCCAUCAUGACCAGCACAUUUGGGGCAGCGAAGUCCAUGAGUUCAAGCCAGACAGGUUCGCCGGUGGGGUCUCCAAGGCAUCCAAUGAUUCAGGUGCCUUUCUCCCUUUCGGUUGGGGCCCACGGAUCUGCAUCGGCCAGAACUUCGCACUUCUUGAAGCCAAGAUGGCAAUGUGCAUGAUCAUUCAAAGCUUUGAGUUCGAACUCGCGCCGUCGUAUAGUCAUGCGCCAUAUACUGUGAUAACAUUGCAACCAAUGCAUGGUGCACAGAUAAAUCUUAGAGCUAUUUGA
rnacentral:rRNA from 1 species